rnacentral:rRNA from 1 species
UACAGAGGGUGCGAGCGUUAAUCGGAAUUACUGGGCGUAAAGGGUGCGUAGGUGGUUAUAUAAGUUAGGUGUGAAAGUCCUGGGCUUAACCUGGGGAUUGCGCCUGAUACUGUAUAACUAGAGUUCUGGAGAGGAAAGUGGAAUUUCCGGUGUAGCGGUGAAAUGCGUAGAUAUCGGAAGGAACAUCAGUGGCGAAGGCGACUUUCUGGACAGAAACUGACACUGAGGCACGAAAGCAUGGGGAGCGAACAGG